AGUGGCCUCUGAUCCAGAGACACUAACCCAGCAACAGCCCUUGACUCCCUCCACCCUUGCUUCCCUCUCACCCAUCUCACCUCUAUCUGUUCAGUUGAGCCAGAGGUCCCACCUUCUUGGGAGAAAUUAAUUGAGGCACAUUUCCAGGCCAGAGGGGUGAGCUGGGUCUGAGGAGCCAAGCAGAAAGUCUUCUCAAAAUCACUAUGUGGGGAAGGAUCAGAGACUUGCUGCUGCCCUUGCUGUUCUGACUCUGCCCCAGCUUUUGGCCCCACCCCCUUAAAGAACCUUUAGAGGUUUCCAUGGUGACAGUAAACAAGCCUCCACUGCCUUGGCCAUCUCUGCUGUGUUUGCCCUACUCCUGAUCUUAAAGGUGUGCAGCUGUGAUGAGCAGGAGCAGGGAGGAGCUCCCAGGCAUCGUCAUCACUUCCCCGCACUGUCUAAAUCCUGCUCAGCAGUCUGUGAAACUGUGGUGCCGAAGACAUAUGUAAGGGUUCUAACUCCACUCAAGCAAUCUGCUCACCUCAAAAGGGAAAACAUUGGCUCGCUCCUGUUUUAACAGAUGACACAUAGGUCACAAUUCAAUCUGUGCUCUCCUUGGACUACUUCUUACAUGAACAUCAAACAUAUACCCAUUUCCCAAACACUAAUGUAGCUUGUAUAUUUGGAGUAAAAAUUAGAAAUAUACAUGCAGAGAUUUUAAAUAUACAACUUUUUUUAUUACCAUUUUCAGUCUCCCUACUUGUUGGUCUAUUCAGGGUAUUUAAUUCUUCCUCCUCUUCUUCUUGAGCUCCUCCCUGCUUCUACUCAUCACAGCUGCACACCUUUAAGAUCAGGAAUAGGGUAAACACAACAGAGAUGGCCAAGGCAGUGGACGCUUGUUUACUGUCACCAUGGAAACCUCUAAAGGUUCUUCUUAUAUCAUUCCAGGAAGUUAUCUACCUCCUCUAGGUUUUCCAGUUUAUGUGCAUAAAGGUGUUCAUUGUAGCCUUGAAUGACCUAUUGUAUUUCUGUGGUGUCAGUUGUAAUAUCUCCCAUUUCAUUUCUGAUUGAGUUUAUUUGAAUUUCCUCUCUUCUUUUCUUGGUUAAUUUCGUUAAUGUCUAUCAAUUUUAUUUAUUGUUUCAAGAACCAGCUUUUUGUUUUAUCUUUUGUAUUGUUUUUUGUUGUUGUUUCCAUUUCAUUUAGUUCUGCUCUCUUUUUUAUUUGCUUUCUCUUGCUGGGUUUGAGUUUGGUUUGUUCUUGUUUCUCCAGUUCUUUGAACUGUGAACUUUGUUUUUGCUCUUUCAGACUUCUUAAUAUAGGCAUUUAGAGCUCUGAACUUUUCUCCUAGCACUGCCUUUACUGUAUCCCAGAGGUUCUGAUAGGAUGUGUCACUACUUACAUUCAGUAUGAAAAAUAUUUUAAUUUCCAUCUUGAUUUCAUAGUUGACCAAUGAUCAUUUAGGAGCAGGUUAUUUAAUUUCCAUGUAUUUGAAGGUUCUUUAUGGACUGGAUUUCCAGUUUUAUUCCACUGUGGGCUGUAAGAAUGCUUGAUAUAAUUUCAAUUCUCUUAAAUUUACUGAGGCUCAUUUUGUGGCUUAUCAUAUGCUCUAUCUUGGAGAAAGUUCCAUACGCUGAUGAAUAGAAUAUAUAUUCUGCAGUUGCUGGAUAGAAUGUUCUGUAAAUAUCUGUUAAGUUAAUUUGUUCUAGGGUGUAAUUUAAAUCCAUUGUUUCUUUGUCAAAUUUCUGUCUUGAUGACCUGUCUGGUGCCGUCAGCGGAGUAUUGAAGUCCUCCACUAUUAUUGUGUCACUGUCUAUUUCAUUUCUUAGGUCUCGUAGUAGCUAUUUUAUUAAUUUAUUCACCAAUGUUAGGUGAAUAAAUAUUUAGAAUUGUGAUAUUUUCCUUUUGAACAAAGCCUGAUAUCAUUAUAUAAUGUCUCUCUUUGUCUUUCUUAACCUGCUGUUGCUUUAAAGUUUCCUUUGUCUGAUAUAAGAAUUGCUACUCCUGCUCACUCUUGGUCACCAUUUACAUGGAAUGUCUUUUUCCACCACUUUACCUUAAGGUCAGGUGAGUCUCUUGAAGGCAGCAGAUAGUUGGUGAUUUCUUAUCCAUUCUGUCAUUCUGUAUCUUUUAGGUGAAGCAUUUAGGCCAUCUACAUUAAAUAUUAGUAUUGAGAUGUGAGUUACUAUUCCAUUCAUAGUGCUGUUUCUUGUAUGUAUGUGUAAUUUCCAUCAAAAUACCAACAUCAUCCUUCACAGAACUAUAAAAUCAAUUCUACAAUUUAUAUGGAAUCAAAAAAGCCAAGGCAAGACUAACCAAAAAGAACAAAUCUGGAGGCAUCACAUUAACUGAUCUCAAACUAUACUAUAAAGCCAUAGUCACCAAAACUGCAUGGUACUGGUAUACAAGUAGACACAUAGAUCAAUGGAACAGAAUAGAAACCCCAGAAAUAAACCCAGUACUUACAGCCAACUAAUUGUUGACAAAGCAAAGACAUAAAGUGGGGAAAGGACACCCUAUUCAACAAGUGGUCCUUGAAUAAUUGACAAGUCACAUGUAGAAGAAUCAAACUAGAUCAUUGUCACUUACCUUAUACAAAAAUCGUCUCAAGAUGGAUCAAGGACUUAAAUUUAAAACCUGAAACUAUAAAAAUUCUAGCAGAUAACAUCAGAAAUACUCUUCUAGACAUUGGCUAGGCAAAGAUUUCAUGACCAUGAACCAAAAAGCAAAUGCAAUAAAAACAAAAAUAAGCAUCUGGGACUUUAUUAAACUAAAGGGCUUUUGUACAACAAAAGGUACAGUCAGCAGAGUAAACAGAAAACUGACAGAGUGGGAGAAAAUCUUCACAAUCAAUACAGCUGAUGAAAAACUAAUAUCCAGAAUCUGCAAUGAACUCAAACAAGUUAGCAAUAAACAAACAAUCCCAUCAAAAAGUGGGACAAGAACAUGAAUAGACAAUUAUCAAAAGAAGACAUACAAAUGACUAACAAACAUAUGAAAAAUGAUCAACAUCACUAAUGAUCAGGGAAAUGCAAAUCAAAACCACAAUGUGAUACCACUUCACUCCUGCAAGAAUGACCAUCAUGAAAAAAUAAAAAAAUAAUAGAUGUUGGCAUGGAUGCUAUGAAAAGGGAACACUUUUACACUGCUGGUGGGAAUGUAAACCAGUACAACCAUUAUGAAAAACAGGGUGGAGAUUUCGUAAGGAACUAAAAGUACAACUAUCAUUUGAUAUCCAGAAGAAAUGAAGUCAUUAUACAAAAAAGAUGCUUGAGCAUGUUUACAGCAGCACAAUUUGCAACUGUAAAAACGUGGAACCAACCAAAAUGUCCAUCAAUCAACGAGUGAAUAAACUGUGGUAUAUAUACACAUACAAUGGAAUACUACUCAGUCAUAAAAAGAAAGGAAUUAAUGGUAUUUGCAGCAACCUGGAAGAGAUUGGAGGCUAUCAUUCUCAGCAAAGUAACUCAGGAAUGGUAAACCAAGCAUUGCACGCUGUCACUCAUAAGUAACUGAGGAAUGGUAAACCAAGCAUUGCACGCUGUCACUCAUAAGUAACCCAGGAAUGGUAAACCAAGCAUUGCACGCUGUCACUCAUAAGUAACUGAGGAAUGGUAAACCAAGCAUUGCAUGCUGUCACUCAUAAGUAACUCAGGAAUGGUAAACCAAGCAUUGUACGCUGUCACUCAUAUAAGUAACUGAGGAAUGGUAAACCAAGCAUUGCACGCUGUCACUCAUAAGUAACUGAGGAAUGGUAAACCAAGUAUUGCACGCUGUCACUCAUAAGUAACUGAGGAAUGGUAAACCAAGCAUUGCACGCUGUCACUCAUAAGUAACUGAGGAAUGGUAAACCAAGCAUUGCACGCUGUCACUCAUAAGUGGGAGCUAAGCUAUGAGAAUACAAAUGCAUGAGAAUGACAUGAUGGACUUCAGGAAGUCAAGGGGAAAUGGUGGGAAGGGGUGCUAACUGCGUGCACUGUAUACGGCUCAUGUGAUAAGUGCCUCAAAAUCUCAGAAAUCACCAAUAAAAAAACUUACCCAUGCAACCAAAUAUUACCUGUUCCCCACCUACUUUAAAAUUUCUUUAAAUAAUAAAACUGUCUCCUCUUUAAUAACUCAUGUUUCCAUUAAAACAAUAUCUGGAAGCCACAUAAAGGAAGUAAGCAUAGGCCACUUGGAAGAAGUUCCAAAAGGGAGAGCUGACCCCAGCUUCGUACACUGGCAGCACAAGGAGCCCUCAAAGACUUCUGUGACCAAAUCUGUGCAGGUUUCUCUCCAUACCCCGAGCAAACCAUUGAUUCUGCAGUGAAAACCACCUGGGUGUUCUCCCAUUCAAUUUAGUUCUGACACUAUCUACCAGGAGAAAGCCUCAGAAACCACAGGUUGAGGGCUCAGUUUCACAAGAACACCCGCUUCUAACCAGCUGAAACUCCACACCUCCAGAGCUUCUGACUGACUGGCUUCAAGUUGUGAUUCUCACACAAACCUCUAUUUGAGUUUGACUAAUUUGUUAGAGCAGUUCACAGAACACAAGGAAACACUUAUCUUGAUCAAUUUAUAAUAAAGGAUGUUUUAAAAGAUAUGUUUUAUGAAACAUAUGAAAAGUCAGAUAAAAAAUUAUAUGUGUGUGUGUGUGUGUGUGUGUGUGUGUGUGUGUGUGUGUAUAGCGUGAAGCCUGGAAGAGCACAGGAGCUCCUAUCCACAUGGAUUUGGGGUGUGCCACCCUCCUGGCACAUGGACAAGUUUUCCUUCACCUUCCUGUCAGCCUCCACAUGUUCAGCUCUCCAGAAGUUCUACACACCCUGUCCUCUUAGGCAUUUUAUGAGAACUCCAUUGGAUAGGCAUGAAUGACAAAUGUAUAGAAAUGUGACAAAUGUAUAGAAAUCUCUAACAUCUACUGUAAUGCUGAUAGACCGAGUGGGGAAACCCAGCAAGGCUGGUCUAUUAAGAUUCUUUUUGGCAUCUCUGUGCAGCAUUCCUUCCUCCAGGGUAUGGCAGGACCCCUUCUGAAAGGAGGAUCUUAUGGCCCAUAAUCAGAGAGGUGGGAGAAGAUUAGAGAGGACAGAGGAAGGUCAGAAAGAGAGAAUAUAUCUUCUGAGGUCUGCUCCUGAAACUUAAAACAUUCCAACAUUACAACAGAAGACUAUGAAAGUUUUGAGCCAACAACUAUGAAUAAAAAAGUAUAUAUAUGUAUAUACAUAUAUACGUAUGUCUCACAAGCGAUUAAUAGAGAAAAUUGCUAUUGUGACUUUUUGUCCUUCAAUAACUAUAUUUAAAAUAAAAUUUUGACUGAAAUAGCAAUUUUCUGAACCAUUUAAGCAAGCUCAUGACAAUAAUUUUUUAGCCUUAAUCCAAAAUAAAACAGCAACGUUUUCAAAAUGUAUCUUCAAUCCUUCAGCAAUAAUCAGUUAUAUAAUUUUCCUGUACAACUAUAAUUAAAAUUAAAUGCAAUUAAAAAAAAUUUUGGUAAUACUAUACAUAUUUAUGGAACAAGUGUGAUAUUUUAUUACAUGCAUAGAAUAUGUGAUGGUCCAGUCAGGAUAUUUAGGGUAACUAUUACCUUGAGUAUUUGUGAUAUUCUGUGUUUAUCAUUUGAAAUCUUCUCUUCUAUUUUGAAAUACACGACACAUUGUUAACUAAAAUCUUUCUACUCUGCUACUGAACAUAGAACUUAUUCCUUUUAUCUAACUGUAUGUUUGUGUCCAUUAACUAUCCUCUGUUCAUCUCCCUGCACUGUUGCCACACACACUCUUCUCAGCCUCUGGUAUCAAUCAAUCCAUUCUCUACUUCCAUGAGAUUAAUGUUUUCAGCUUCCAUGUAAAUGUGAUGACAUGCAAUAUUUGUCUUUCUAUGCCUGGCUUAUUUCACUUAACAUAAUGACCUCCAGUUCCAUUCAUCCUGCUGCAAAUGACAUGAUUUAUGUUUUUAUGACUGAAUAAUAUCCCUUUUGUAUAGACACUACAUUUUCUUUAUCCAUUGGUUUAUUGAUGAACACUUAGGCUAUCUUUGCUAUUGUGAAUAGUGCUGCAAUAAACGUGAGGGUGCAGAUAUCUUAUUGAAAUAUUGAUUUUAUUUCCUUUAGAUAAGUACCCAGUAGUGCAAUUUCUGCAUAAUGUUGUAAUUCUUUUAGUUUUUACUAAUUUAUAUUCCCAACAAUAGUGUAUAAAAGUUCUCUUUUCUCUACAUCAUCAACAGCAUCUGAUAUUUUUUUGUCUUUUUAAUAAUAGUCAUUCUAACUGAGGUAAGAUUAUAUUUAAAUUGUGUUUUAGAGGCUGGGAGCGGUGGCUCAAGCCUGUAAUCCCAGCACUUUGGGAGGCCGAGGCGGGUGGAUCACGAGGUCAAGAGAUCGAGACCAUCCUGUUCAACAUGGUGAAACCCCGUCUCUACUAAAAAUACAAAAAAUUAGCUGGGCCUGGUGGCGCGUGCCUGUAAUCCCAGCUACUCAGGAGGCUGAGGCAGGAGAAUUGCUUGAACCCAGGAGGCAGAGGUUGCGGUGAGCCGAGAUCACGCCAUUGCACUCCAGCCUGGGUAACAAGAGCGAAACUCCAUCUCAAAAAAAAAAAAAAAUUAUAUUUUAAUGAAAGGAAUGAGAUCUGGAUACACGAAUAUUAGUCAUGGAGCUUCCUUUGACAGAAAAACAUCAAAAUGUUAUCUAAAUUUGUAAGGUUUUUUAUGAUAACUUUUGGCAGAUGUGCAAUUUUUGCACACCAACUACUUUAAUAAUUGUCGUCAAGUCAUGGAACUUUCUGCAGAAACAGUCUUCUUCCAAGCUUCUAACUUGAGAUUUUGCUUUUCAACCUUAUCAGCCACGGAAAAACAUGUUGGAUUUUUUCUUUGCAAAGCAAUAUUAAGAUAAUUUAAAUGACUAAAGUAUUAGACAAGUGAGAAAGACUGGUUGUCCUAUAUUCCAUAUUAGGUCAGUAUCAAAUUGGUUGCUUAACUUGGAAACACUGAGUUUAUUCCAUAGUUCAACUGUUCUCCACCAAACCUUUCCCCUCAAUGACAAUGCAUCUCCACAUACUUUAACGGUUGUUUUUAACCAGCUUUCACAUUAUUGCCUACAAAAAAAUGGAAUGAAAAUUACUACCUUUAUGAGAUGCAUGUUUUACUAUUUCUGUAAUCACAAUGUUUAGUUCAACUAGAAUUUUGCUUUUAUAUAAAUAACAAGAAUUUCUCAAUGAAGAAAACAUUACAUUGAUUUAUAACCUAUCAAAAGCUUCUAAAUCUGGGUACUUAUUCCAGAACAUGGCCCUACUGUGCUCAGCAAUUACAUAGCUCCUUCCAUUUGUAACUCACCACAUGAGUUUGACAUCUGUCCUGCUCUGUAUCCCAUUCAAUAAAGCAAGUCCAUUUGCUGUGGCACAGUCAAAUUGCACUAAAAGUUUUGAAACACUUGCUCUUAAUCGUUGUAUGAAUCCUAUCCCAGGCCAGUAGUCAAAUAUUCACCACAUAGCAGUGGUUCCCAGACCACAUCUUGAAUUUCAUGCAUGUGACUAUUGUUUUCUCCUCAUCAACAUAUGGGGAAUUCCUAGAAGUGAUAUUUAAUUUAUUUACAGUUUGUGAAAUCAUACUAUGGUACACUACACUGCAUUUAGAUUGCAUGCAACAAAUGUCUAUUAGAAUUAGAAAUAUUUAGUAGAAUUAAGUGAUGCAGCCAUGUCAUUAGUUACAUAUUAAGAAGUGAUCUUCCACACCCUAGAAGUCUUUUCACAUAGUCGUCUUUCUUUCUUUGGGUUCAAAUCAAGAUAAAAGUUUGUGUGUGUGUAUAUGUGUGUGUGUGUGUUAAAAUAUUAUUUUGAGCAUUUCUCUUUUGUGAAACUCAGCAGCAGAGGCCUGAGUUCAUUAAAGGUUCCAAUCAAAAAAAGAUAUACUCAUUGAUCCCUCAAAGUUUACUCCAUUGUGUUGUAUACUUUUUUCCAAUUUCUCACUCCCAAUUUUCUUGACAUCCCUGGAAGUCAUAUGUUGUGUGUCUUUUAUUUUCUAAGAGUUUUUACAUAUAUGAAGUAUUAUAAUGUGAGCUCAUGUUUUAAUUUUACUUAAUAUUACUGUGUUACAACUAAUUUUAUUUCUUGUUUUUUCAGUUUUACUGUUCCUCUAGAGUACUCCAAGAGCAUGGGCCUGGCUGGCAUACUACUAUUAUUCUUACAUUAAAAAAAUAGAUUUUAGUAGAUAAGUAUUCAGCAACUACUGCAGGCAGGCCAUAUCUGGCCCUGUACAUGUGUAUGAAAAUAAAGUACUGGAACACAGCUGUACCCACUCAUUUGUGUACUGUCGAUAAAUGCUUUCAUGCCACAACUGCCAAGUCUAGUAGUGGAUACAGAAACUAUGUGACUUACAGCACAAAAUAUACUUACUUUCUGAUCCUUUACAGAGCCAUGGAACUCCGAACUGGAUGAUCUAUUCCAACUCCCAUAUUCUAGUGUUUCAAAAUCCUUUUCUGCUUCCAUUUUCACUAAGGGGAAUUUGAACUGAUGGCAGGAAACAAGCAAGUGAAUGUUUACCAUGACUGCAGAGAGUUUCCUAAGGAAACUUUCCACUCCAGAAACCCCACUCGUGGUCAUGGGAUAUGGCUUUGCUCUGGUAGACCCCAGUCAUUUAAUAGAUACAACAUUGGUUUAUUCACGGUUUCCUUUAAUAAACACAUUACAGCAGAAGAACAUAACAAAAAAAAAAAAGGAAAAAAAGGAAAACUACAGGCUAAUAUCCCUGAUGAACAUAGAUGUAAAAAUCCUCAACAAAAUAUGAGUUAACCAAAUUCAACAACAUAGCAAAAAGAUAAUGUAUCAUGAUCAAGUAGGUUUCAUACCAGGGAUGCAGGGAUGGUUCAACAUACACAGGCCAAUAAAUGUGAUAAACCAUGUAAACAGAAUUAAAAACAAAAAUCGUGUGAUCAUCUCAUUAGCUGAAAGCAUCCUCCCUGAGAACUAGAGCAAGACAAGCAUGGCCACUCUUACCACUUCUCUUCAACAUAGUCCUGGACGUCCUAGCCAGAGCAAUCGGACAGGAGAAAGAAAUAAAGGGUAUCCAAAAAGAUACAGAAAGUCAAAUUGUCUCUGUUUGCUGAUUUUAUAAUCAUAUACCUAGAAAACCCUAAAGCCUCCCCCAAAAAGCUCCUAGAACUGAUUAAUGAAUUCAGCAAUGUUUUGGGAUACAAAAUUAAAGUACACAAAUUGGUAGCUCUGCUAUCCACCAACAGCAACCAAGCUGAGAAUCUAGUAAAGAACUCAACCUCUUUUACAAUAGCUGCAAAAAAUUAAAAUACUUAGGAAUAUGCCUAACUGAGGAUGUGAAUGACCUCUGCAAAGAAAACGACAGAACACUGCUAAAAGAUAUCACAGACCAUAAACAAACCGGAAACCCAUCCCAUACUCAUGAAUGGAGAGAAUUACAUUGAGAACAUGACCAUAUGACAAAUGCAAUCUAUAAAUUCAAUGCAAUUCCCAUCAAAAUACCACCAUCAUUCUACACAGAGCAGGAAGAGCAAUCCUAAAAUUCAUAUAGAACCAAAAAAAGCCUGCAUAGCCAAAGCAAGACUAAGCAAAAAGAACAAAUCUGGAGCCAUGACAUUAUUUUAAACUAUACUAUAAGGCCAUAGUCACUGAAUCAGCAUGCUACUGACAUAAAAACAGGCACACAGAAAAAUGGAACAGAACAGAGAACCCAAAAAUAAAUUCAAACACAGCCAACUGAUCUUGACAAAACAACAAAAACAUAAAGUGUAGAAAGAACAUCCUAGUCAACAAUUGGUGCUGGAAUAAUUUGCAAAGUACAUGCUGGACAAUGAAAUUGUAUUUUCAUCUCUCACCUCAUACAAAAAUCAACUCAAGAUGGAUCAAGAACUAAAUCUAAAACCUAAAACUAGAAAAACUAGAAAAUAACAUUGAAAAAUCCUUCUAGACUUUGGCUUAUGCAAAAAUUUCAUGACCAAAAACCCAAAAGCAGAAACAAUAAAACAAAGAUAAAUAGCUGGAACUUAAUUAAAUUAAAGAGCUUUUGCACAUUAAAAGAAACAGCAGAGUAAACAGACGACCCACAGAGUGGGAGAAAAUAUUUACAAUCUAUACAUCUGAAGAAGGACUAAUAUCCAGAAUCUAUAACAAAUUCAAACAAAUUAGCAAGAAACAAACAAUCCCUUCACAGAGUGGGCUAAGGACAUGAAGACAAUUCUCAAGAGAUGCAAAUGGCCAACAAACAGGAAAUAAUGCCCAACAUCACUACUGAUCAAAAAAAUGCAAAUCAAAACCACUACGUGAUACCACCUUACUCCUGCAACAGUGGCCAUAAUCAAAAAAUAAAAAUAAAAAUAGAUGUUGGCAUGGAUGAGAUAAAAAGGGAACACUUCUACACUGCUGGUUGGAAUGUUCACUAGUACAAUCACUACAGAAAACAACGUGGAGAUUCCUUAAAGAACUAAAAAUAGAACUACCAUUUGAUCCAGCAAUCCCACCACUGUGUAUCUAUCCAGAGGAAAAUAAGUCAUUAUACGAAAAAGAUAUUUGUUUAUAGCAGCACAAUUUGCAAUUUCAAAAAUGUGGAACCAACCUAAAUGCCCAUUAAUCAACAAGCACAUAUAUAUAUAUACAUACAUGUAUGUAUAUAUACACUUAUAUAUAUACAUACACACAUAUACAUACAUAUAUGUAUGUAUAUAUAUGCAUGUAUGUGUACAUAUGUAUGUAUAUAUAUAAAAUGGAAUAGAUACAUAAUGAAAUAUUGCAAAGCCAUAAGAAGUAAUGAAUUAAUGGCAUUCACAGCAAACUGUAUGAGAUUGGAAACUUAUUUUGAGUGAAAUAACUCAGGAACAGAAAAACAAACAUCAGUUGUUUUCACUCAUAAGCAGGAGCUAAGCUAUGAGGAUGCAAAGACAUAAGAAUGACACAUUGGACUUUGGGGACACGGGGGGAAAGGAUGGGAAGGGGGUGAGUGAUAGAAGACUACAAAUUGGAAGAUGCAUGCACCAAAAUCUCACAAAUCACCACUAAAUAACUUACCUGUGUAACCAAAUAUCUAUCACCUCUUCCCCCAAAAUUUGUAGAAAAAAUUUUAAAAAGACAUACAUUAUUGUCAUUUCAUCCAACUGAAUA